rnacentral:misc_RNA from 1 species
AAAGAAACAGAGCAACCUAAAAAACGUGGUGUCUGUUCUCUUCAGGUUCUAGGGUUGCUCAUCUUUAUUUCUCUCCGCUUUCUCUUUCUUCCGUUCAAGAUUAAUUUCUUGAAUUCUAAUUCUUUUAAAAGAUUUUUUUUUUCUUAUUUUUUCCUUUGCAAGAAAUGAGGUGGAUGUAUUGAGAAGAGAAAGCGAAAACGUUUAGAAAGACUUUUUCUUUUCUUUUUUUAUAGCAAUAGCUAGAUUACCCUUUCCAGGCUUGAAAAGAAAGAGUGCAUAUAAAGGAAAUUUUGUGAGAGGUUUCUCUUUUUGGUUUUUUCUAAAGAAAGUAUAUAUAUGCACAUUAAUUGGGCAACAAAGUAUAUCUAUUCAGAAAGAGUGGACGGUGGAAAGGAGAGUUUUCAAAGCUGUAAAUACGUGUAAGCAAAGAAGAUUAUACGUAUUAGUUGAUUGAUUUGUUAUAUGUUUUUGUUGUACAAUAAAGAAAAAGAAAGAAUUGGGUUUGUGUCGAAACAAAGAUAAGUUUCGAGAUUUUGAGCUGUUCCAGAUAAUGAGAGCGAGGCCAUAAUGGAUUUUUGGCCAGAGUUUCUUGCUACAAGUUGGGGCAGAGAAUUUGUCGCUGGAGGUUUUGGUGGCAUUGCAGGUAUAAUUUCUGGUUAUCCUCUUGAUACUCUGCGUAUCAGGCAACAACAAAACUCCAACUCUGGCUCUGCCUUGAGCAUCCUCCGCCGCGUCAUCGCCGCCGAAGGGCCUCGUGCACUCUACAGAGGGAUGGGUGCACCGCUGGCAUCAGUCACCUUUCAGAAUGCCAUGGCUUUCCAGAUAUAUGCUAUCCUUUCUCGAGCAUUUGACUCGUCUGUUUCGGUUAAUGACCCUCCUUCCUACAAAGGUGUGGCUUUAGGAGGAGUUGGCACUGGAGCUUUACAGAGUUUGAUGCUUACUCCUGUAGAACUGGUAAAGAUCCGCCUUCAAUUGCAGGACAAAAGUCAUGCGGAACUCCAUCAUAUAGAUUGUCAUAAAGGUCCUAUAAGUGUUGCCAAGAGCAUACUCAGGACUGAAGGUUUAAGAGGAAUUUAUCGAGGCUUUUCCAUCACCGUUCUUAGAGAUGCACCUUCUCAUGGCUUCUAUUUCUGGACAUAUGAGUACAUGAGAGAGCAGCUCCAUCCUGGCUGCAGAAAAAAUGGCCAAGAAAGCUUAAGAACAAUGCUGAUAGCUGGGGGACUAGCAGGAGUUGCAAGUUGGGUCUGCUGCUAUCCAUUAGAUGUUAUAAAAACCAGACUGCAAGCUCAGACACCAUCAUCCCCACAAAAGUAUAAUGGCAUUCUGGAUUGUCUUAGCAGAAGCGUUAAAGAGGAAGGCUACCGCGUGCUCUGGCGCGGUUUGGGAACUGCUGUUUCGAGAGCUUUUGCUGUGAAUGGAGCAAUAUUUUCUGCUUACGAGAUUGCAUUGAGGUGUUUAUUCAACAAUGGAAGCAUUCAAAGAGAAAACACAAUCUAGGAGAAGUAUCUUUCCUAAUUAGGAUGGCUAUCGCCAUUUAUCUGUUAGUAUUAUAAUAUGAAGAACAGCCAAAGAAUUGCAUAUGGCAUGCGAUCCUUUUUCAACACUGCUCUCACUUAUCUCUAGGUAUAGAAGCAACUGAAUGAACCGGCAAACUGGAGCCCUCAUCUUGUUGCACUAAUGGAGUAUGGGUUUUUGAGCUUCUGACUAAAUCCACCCAUAAGAAAGUUAAAAUGCAGUUCUCAUUUUGUAUUAUAGCUCAUAGCCAUGUUUGGAGACGAAAACAUAAUGAAUUACUUUGUUCCUUUAUGAGACUUUACAUCUCUUUCCAUGUGUUUGUUCGGACAAGAAUUGAAUGUAAAGUGUGCAGAAUACACAAAACAGACAUUUAGUUGUAUUAUUUUUGUAACAGCAUAAAAAUGGAAGGAAAAAUCCAUUUACUGUUGAUUAUUAAUAGGACAUAAUGAGAAUUCUUUUACCAGCAAAGAUAUGAACUGAAAUGCAAAGAAAAGACCAGACGGAUUCAUUAUCAGAUUAAUCUUAAAUAAUAUCAUCGUCCACCAUGGUAUCAUCCAAUCCAUAGCUACAUUCUGCCAAGACACGAAGAUUAUUGCAGCGCUUAAUGCCCGAACAAUUGCACGAAUUCGCCUACAUGUAUUUGAACCAUAGAAAAUGCCUGAGUUGUACAGAUUUGAACUGUAGAAAAUGUCUGAUAUACAUGUCUGAUCCAAAACUUUCUGAUCUACCAAGCACACCAUCAUAUCCCAAUUGCAUCAUGAGUGCUGCAUCAGCAGGAGUCAUAGUGCCUCCCCAAUGCAAUUUGCAUAACUGGAAGCUUACCCAUUCACUUAAUUUCUGCUGCAAGACCGUAAGACGCCUACAUCUUCUGUGAAAACGAGAAAACCUCAUCUUUAUUGUUGUUUACCUCUUUCAUCAUUGACCCAACAUUACUAACCGUCUCAGCAAUGUCACCAAACCCAGCCAAGUUCCACAUAUCUCAUCGUCCAAAGUAUGACUACACCUUCCAUUAUCCCUGUGGACACUUCUUUGAAAUUCCUGCACUAACAAGCAAAUAUUACUUGAAAAUUAUGCUUAUUAAUGUAGUUUUCAUUGUCAACAUUACCAAGAAGUUCGCUGUCAUCAAUAUAAUCUACUCCAGUUGCUUCGAAAGUCAGGGCUUCAACAAAAUGCCCCAUAGAGACACUCUUGCCAUCACCAAAUUGAGAAUGCCUGCUUGAUUUGACAAGCAUGAGAUGGAUCACUCAAGUGAAAGUUACCACGGUAGAUAAAAAUGCAGGAAGUUCCGGCUUUGUCUGCUAUUUUACCUUGUUCUGUAUUGGUGACUUCAACAAUACUUGUUAAUGCAUUUCGGCUACUCCAAACUUGAUGGAUAAACGGUUCUCUUUGCUAUCACCAUCAGCAAAGUUGUCAAAAACUGGUAUUAUAGCAUCAGCCAUUGAUGUUGUAACAUCCUCAUUUUCGUAGUCCGUACAUUCUACUGUUCCGACAGCUAAUGUCUGCCCCGGAAAGUCGGAAUGUCUGGAACUACACUUCGGUGAUAAUGAACAGACAUAUAAUGAUGAAAUAAAUAAGAAGAAAAUGCAAGAAAAAUCAAAGACAAAUGAAAGAGAGAAAAUGAAGCUAAAUUAAACAAGCCGGCACGACAGCGAUGGGUGACCGCACAGGGAAGGCUGUUGCCGAUCCCAGGACCGUGGAGAACCCUCGAAAUUUAAUUUUGAGACAUAGAUAAAGGUUUAUUGAAAUGUAAUUGAUACUAGAAAUAUCAAAAAAAAUAAUAAUAAAUUAGUACAAAGAAAAACGAAAAAUCGAGAAACAGACAAAAAUCGGUGUUACCGAAAAAUUUGAAAUGCAAACCGAAAAGGGGCAUUUUGAUCAUUUGACACCUAGAGUGGACUUUUGACCUAAAUGUCCAUGAAAAAUAAGUGGUAUUACAUUUUGAAAAUUUAAUGAAAAAUGAAAUUGAAGAUAAAAUGUAAUUUAAGGAAAGUUGAGGGCAAAAGUGCAAUUAAAAGAAAUCUUAAAUUAAACCAAUUUUUAAUUAACUUAAUGGAGCACCACGUGGGACAUUUAGUGGCCAUAUAAAGCCACCUUUGGACAGCACAAUCUGCAUCUUCUUCUUCAUUUUUUUCAUUAGCCGUAUUGCUCUCCCAUAGAAACCUCCAUUGAUGUCCCUAAACCAAGCUCCAUGCAUCCAUUUUCAAGCCAUUUUCCACAUGAUUUCCUUCAUUAAAUUUAGUCUACACAGCUUGGGAAGUGUUAUGGCAGCAAAAAGAAGCACGAUUGGUGAGGUUUUAGCAAGCUCUAACAAGAGGUAAGUGUCCAUUUUCUUCCCUUGCCUAAUUAAAACUUGUUUUGAGGUUGUGGGUAGUAUUUUGGUUGAAAAAUUGAAAGAAUUACUUGAAUAAUUAUUGGGUGUAACUUUUGGCAGCCAUGGAAAGGAAAGGUGAGCAGAUUAUUCUCACUUGUAAUUGAUGUUAAUUGAUGAGAAUUGGUGGGGAUUAAAGUGCUUAAAUGUAAAAGAGCUUAAUUACCAUGUGUAUGUGUGAAUUGUGCAUUGAAAAUGAGGUUAGGAAAUCAAUAUGGGAGAUUGAAGUAUAUGUGUAAAUUGGGCAGCCUUGAUGUGCUUAGGAAGGCCUUAAAUUCAAGUAUAUUUAAUGUUGAUUUAAGAACAAUGAGAUGUAUGUUAUUGAUCUUGGUUAGUUGGAUUAAGUUUGAGCAAUUAAAUUGUUGUUAGACAUGGAUUUGAUCAAUUGAGUGUGAUGGAGAAUUACUUGAGUUGAAUUUGUAUUUGGACAUUGAUUUAAUUGCUGGAUAUUUGAUCACAUAUAUUGUGGCUGGAUAUUGGUUGUAGUAUAUUGAUAUUGGACAAUUGACCCAAGUAUAAAGUGCAUAAUGUCUAUUAGAAUUGCAAAAAUUUGCAAUGCAAAGUGUGUUAGUAAAAACAGUGUGCAUUUUAGGCUCUAAAUGGAAUUGUGUGACUC